rnacentral:lncRNA from 1 species
AGGUGGGACGAGGAAGUGGGUUCAAGUUGACGAUUUGAACGAUCGGGUGAUAUUUCUUGGAACGGAGACGAAUAUUUGUUGCUCUGUACAAAACCUCCCGGGUGCAAAGGAGAACUGCAUUGUGUUCAUUGAUUUGAGAAAUGGUAUUAUUAAACAGUAUGAAUCAAUCCUUUUGUUUGACUUAAAAACAAAAAGGACUAGUACUGCAUUUAGUGAAUGCAGAGGCUACAUGGGUGCAUUCGGUGCGAAUCUUGAAUCUCUGGUAUCUUGUGGAGUUAUGACUAUGCCAAACCCAACAACAAGCAUCUAUGAUCUAUUAAGUGAUUCCAGGUGGCUUACUAAAAAGUAAGUGUCAAGAAAAAGACUAAAAUGUUGUAAUCUUUUUAAAAUUGUUUAGUAUUAUAUUAAGGUUUGGUUCAAAUAAUUUAGUUUGGACUCAGUUUGACUCAGUUUGUUAUUUUAUUGGUCACUUAAUUUGAAAUAAAAAUUACUAAAUGAAAAUGAUAAACAUUUGAAAAUUGAAAAUAAUUUUUGAAGUAGAGAUAGCAAAAAAAUGUGUAUAGAAACUGAGUUUGUUGUAUUUGAAUUGUGAAAUGGUGAAUAGUCAGUUGGUAAAUUUGUUGCUGGGAUCAAAGGCUUCAAUAUUAAAAGGAGAAUUGCAUUGUGAUCAUUGAUUAAUCAAUCCAUUUGUUUGACUUAAAAAGCAAAAGGACUAGUACUGCGUUUAGUGAAUGCAGAGGAUACAUGGGCGCUUUCCUAAUGAAUUUGAGUGACUUAUUUGAUCUUGUUUCCAAAAUUAUAUGUAACAAACCAAGACAUCAUGUUUUGCAUAUGCACUCCCCCAAAUUGCAUUUUUAAAAUUCUCCAAUUGACAAACUUUUUGAAAACAUAACUCUUAUAACUUAAUUACUUGUGAAGAAAGAAUAAAAAUAAACAUGAUUCUUAAAACAAGUGUAGUCAGUUGGGAGAUCAAACUCUAUGCUAAAUUUGUUAAUUCAGUGAAUCAAGACACUCAAUGGUGUCAGAUUAAUAACUAAAAUUUUAUAAUCUUUCUUCACACUUUAAACAUUUAGUAUAGUAAAGAAAUAUGUGUAGGCUGUGUAGCCGUGUAGGCAGUCUUACUUGUCCUUCCGACUCCUAAAAGAAGUCAAACAUAAGGUAUCUAUUAAGAUUAUAUAAAUUAUUAAUAACAAAUAAUGUUUUUGAACAAAUAAGUCUUACUAAAUCUCCAUAAUCUAAAUUUUGAAUUUGUAGGCAAAAUUAAAGAUUAACAACUAACAAUGUUUUUUCAAGGGAAUUUUGUACUCUAUACCCUUUUUAAAACUCAAAACUGUUAAACUACCAUUUUUCCAUACUCUUUUAUGUAGUGCCAUAUUGUAUCUUUUUUAUUUAGGGGUACAAAGAUAAUUUUGUCCUUCCAACACACCGCAGAAGAGACACUUUUUGGGGUGGGCACAAUGACAUUUAAUGCAUACAAUGUAUACUAAUAUCCUGAGGACAAAUUGAUUAAGUGAGUGAUUAGAGAUGAAAAAAUAAAACAUAAAGAGAAAAUUGUAAACCAGAUAUGUACGAAUAGGUGGGUGCUAAUAGAGGACAAGUAGAGAGUUUUGGUGGAAGUUGUGGGUGGUGAAGGAGCAUACAUUUUUUAGAUUUUUUGCCCUACAUGUGGGAACUUGCUGCGUUACGAGGGUGGUGGCAAUUCCAGAUUCUUCUGUUCCAGUUGUCCAUAUAUCGCCUACAUCAAAAGACAUGUCUUUUUUUUUUGUACCUUUUCCCAACAAAAUUUUUGAUCAAUCCUUUAUAUCUCUGUCCUUGAUUUGGAAUGUUGAUAGGGAGAAGAAGCAACUUCUGGUUAAGAAAUCCAUUGAACAUGUUGUGUCUAAAGAAGAUAUACCGACAGCCGCUGAAACUGAAGGUAUUACGACAAUCAUGUCUCCUUAUUCUAAUUUUAGGAUUGGGAUUAGUUUAGUCCAUGCUUUGCUACACAAGUUAAUUAGAACAUGGUAAUAAGAUUUUAGGGUUUAUGAGUGUAGCAUCAUUGGUUGUGAGUGUGAGAACUUGAGUUCUGCACACCUCCUAUUGCUAUCUAGAGCAUCUUCGUUUUCAUAUCUUUCUCAUUCCGGAUUCUUUGUUGAUCAGCUCCAUGCCCAAGAUGCGGCCACGACAAGGCAUGCUUCAAAUCAAUGCAGAUUCGUUCAGGCGAUGAGCCCGAAUCAAGAUUUUAUAGAUGCUUGAAGUGCGAGUUCACUUGGCGUGAGGAAUGAUGAUCAUUCACCACUGUUGCCUGCUAAAAUCUUUUUUACCAUUGUGCAUUCUUUUUGGUAUAUUGUUUUCAGCACAAGAGUUUCUGUAAUUUAAGUAGUUGACUGGUCUUUUGAUUUUGAUCCAAUCCGUCUGUUAAAAACUUCGUCUUCUUCCUUUUCACUGAAAUCCUUAUAUAAGAUAUUUUUCUUCACAAUCUUACUUUAAGUUUUGUUCAAAAACCCUUGCAAUAAGGAUGACCUUAGUGGACAAAGCAUAUUAUAAACACAAUUUUAGUUACAUGUUCAAACUACUUUAAAACAUAUUAUAAACACAAUUGCAAUUUCAGUUACAUGUUUCUGACCUUUUUUUUGAGAAUGUAACUCCCCAUUCAUUUUAUACAUAAUCGUUCUCUCAUCCUUCAUCCACAUAUAAAAAAAAAUCAAGUUUUAAAAUUUACUUUGUUUUCAUUUUCUUAGAUGCAUUGUAAAAUUUGAGACAUUAUGGUGGAAAGAGUAAAAAAAAAAAUAUUUAUGGAACAUUUGCAAAACUAACAUUUUUCAUACCAUUUUACAAAUAAUACCUUUCCAUAUUGUACAAAAUGAUUAAAUUACACUCCUUAAAACCCGUGAUGAAAAAAACAAUAUUUUUUUCAAAAUCAUUUCCACCAAAACAGUUCCCGUCAAAAUAACCUGUGAGAGGAACACAACAUAAAAAUUUAUAUUUAGUUACAAACAUAACUUUACCUUGACAUUUUCUUAAAAAGUUUCAUCCAAAUUACAUAACUAAAUAUUAUUUUAAAAUUUUCAUUAUAUUUUACUAUUCUAAUAUAGUCUAGAUUUAUCAAUAUUUUGCUAUUUUCUUAAUAGGGUAAUUAAUCAACAAAUAUUCAUUAUAGAUAUGUUUCUUUGACUUUCUUCACUUUCCUUAACUUUAUAUAGGGGCCGAUUGGUAACGGCUGUACUUGUGGCUGUAGAGACUGUGACUGUAAAGACUUUCGCUGUAGAGACUUUUGCUGUAGAAACUUUGGAUGUAGACACUUUAACGGUUAAAAGUUGAAUUUUGUUUUUUGCUAUUAUAUAUAAUUUUUAUAAAUAUAUGAUGAUCAAUAUUUAUCCAUAUUUAACAUAGUGACAAAUAAAUAAAGUUUAUUAAUAUUUAUAAUAUAAGAAAAUACAAUUGUGAUAUUGAAAAUAUUAAAUUUAUAAAGAAAAGUGGAUGUCAAAAGAAAGGAAAAAAAUGCUGAUAAUUAAUUUACAAAAAAAAGUUUGAAAAAAUAUAUAUAAAUCUAUAGAGAGUUUCUAAUUAUUAUAGGGAGAAGAAAAAAUAAUUUUUAAAACUUAUUUGUUCUUAAGUUUCUACAGCCGUGAUAUUGAGGCUUUAAGAAUAAAGAGAAAAUAAAGAAGGAAAAAAAUAAAAUGGCUUUAAAGGCUUUACAAAAAAUAAAAGUAAAACAAAUCUUGAUUGGCAAAAAUAUAGCUGUUAAGACUUUAAAAUUGUUUUAAAGUCUUAAAAGUCACAACCAAUCAGCCCCAUAGUAAGACCACCCUUAAUUGCAUAAAAAAAGUCUACUCUACAAUAAAUGUGAAAUUAUUUACUAAAUAUUUCAUCUGUCUUCAUUUUCAAUUAUCCUUACCUCUUAAGUAUUGCUCUCUCCCAUCAAUCUCUAACCAUGGCAGAUUGGUCGCUCCUUCCCACAGACUUACUAGUACUAAUCGCUGGUUGUUUCCAGACAUCUUUCGAGAUUGUCCUCUUCCGAUCUGUCUGCAGCUCAUGGCGAUCCGUUGUUCCUUCGCCUCGUGAUUCUCGCUGCUUAGGCACCAAAACUCACAUCCCCAUGUUUACCAGCCUUCACUACAGAGGAAAACCUCGGUUUGGUAGCGAUAAAAAGUAUUGUACACUUAAAAAAAUCCCAAUUUAUCUCGUGAGAUUCAACACUCCGUUUGGCGAUGAUUAUUUACUGGCGGAGAUACAUGAAAGAAAGUCCGGGAAACCGAUGCGGCUGUUGUCACCAUUAAGCUAUGAUGGCCUCACAUCCAAGGAAACUCUAUUGUCGUUCAACUCUCUCACCACUCAAAUUGUCCUUUUGUAUUAUCAGUACGAGGUUAGUUUUGGUCUCUAUUGCUACAUAUGUGUGUCACACCAAAAUGUUCAUACCCUUACUCUUUAAUCUCAUUAAUGCAUGAGUUUUAUCUCCCAUGUCAUUGUUUAACUGUUUCUGUGGCAAUCUUGCUAAAAUGUUUGGAAUUCUGUGUUGUCUUGAUCACAUUCUGUAAACGAAUAUAUAUACAAAUCAUACAAUGUCUAGUGCUGAUAAAUUUGGAGUAUAUCAUGUCGUCACUGCUUUCUUGCCUUCCAUUAAGCUUACAUAACAACCUUGGAUGCAGAUAAAUUUGGAGUAUAUGAUAUCCUUUAGUUUGCGUGUGGGAGUUAAAUGGGAUAAAACAUUCAAAAGAGUUGAAUAUCUUGAACUGAAUACGGAUGACUGCAGAGAUUUCAGAUUGCUAGCUAAUACAGAAAAUGGCGAUAUAAUGAUAUUUAGAAGCCUUGAGAUGAGAUGGACCAAAAUUUUGGUCUCUCCUAAAAAAUGUCGAGAUAUGGUUUCGUUCAAAGGAAAGUUUUAUGUGGUUGAUACAAGUGGACGGGGACAUGUCUUUGUUGUCGAACCGUCUUUGGAAGUUUUCGAGAUCCCCUCGGUCACAUGGUCGACUCUCAAGUCUACGAAAGAGGCUCUUGUGAAGUCGGGAGAAGAGUUAUUGCUAGUGCAACGGUUCACACCAGGCCAGUCUCAUGCAGAUGAUAUGUAUACAUUUUUCCCACAAGGAGAGUCUCAUCCUGAACAUAUGUAUACAUGGUUUAGAGUCUUUAGGCUGGAUGAAGAAGGUGGGACGAGGAAGUGGGUUCAAGUUGACGAUUUGAACGAUCGGGUGAUAUUUCUUGGAACGGAGACGAAUAUUUGUUGCUCUGUACAAAACCUCCCGGGUGCAAAGGAGAACUGCAUUGUGUUCAUUGAUUUGAGAAAUGGUAUUAUUAAACAGUAUGAAUCAAUCCUUUUGUUUGACUUAAAAACAAAAAGCACUAGUACUGCAUUUAGUGAAUGCAGAGGCUACAUGGGUGCAUUCGGUGCGAAUCUUGAAUCUCUGGUAUCUUGUGGAGUUAUGACUAUGCCAAACCCAACAACAAGCAUCUAUGAUCUAUUAAGUGAUUCCAUCUGGCUUACUAAAAAGUAAGUGUCAAGAAAAAUACUAUAAAGUUGUAAUCUUUUUAACAUUGUUUAGUAUGAGAUUAAGGUUUGGCUCAAAGACUCAAUUUGACGAAUUGAUCUUCAUAUUCUUUUUUUUUUUUUUUUUUGGACAAAAAUUUUCAUAUUCAUUAUGCACCCAUUUUACUGCCUAUUUUCUUACUUCUUAACAUUGAUUACAUGUACCAGUGAGCUUCCAUUGAUCUUUUAUCAUCUCUUGAAUCUUCAUAGGCAUAAUAUUCUCUAGAUCAUGUCUUAUCUUGUCCAUCUCUUGAAUCUUCAUAUGCAUAAUACUCUGGCUUAAAAAGUACAUCACGAAGUCGGGCGCGUGACGACACGCGCGGCGAUUUCUCUCCAAUCCUAAAACCUAAAGUUCUUCUCUCGCCGUUGUCUUGUCACGAAGUCGGGCGCGUGACGACACGCGCGGCGAUUUCUCUCCAAUCCUAAAACCUAAGGUUGGCUCUUAUGUGAUUCGACGAGACUCUGAAGUGCCCUGAAGCUCGCGGUGAAAGAGAGUAGUUUCCGCCGCGUGUGACGGCCACCUCCUGGUAUUGAAGACGCUCCUCCGUUCGAUUCUCUUUGCUAGUCGACAGCUUGAGCUUCGAUGGAGAUCCAACGUUUUCAUUUGCGUUAAACUGCUUCGACCGGCUAGGAUCUGUUUCAGAUCUACUCCUCCUUUUCGAAAUCUAAGACGGAUUCAAGCUUUGCUCAGUUCGCUGCGGCGUUGCUUCUCCGUUUCCUUGGGGUUCCCAUUUUUCAAGCCUUUGCUUGGAAAUUGACCGUGUCGACCUGCAAUUUCCGGUGGUUGGGCUUCUCUCCGAUGAGAUUUUUCGCUGGUUGACGGCAUUGUUUCAGACGUUUGUUGCCCCUGUCCCUUCCGUGUGGGUUGUCUCGUCUGUUAGAGCGCUGGCUUGGAGUGGUCUUCUUUGAUUGCUCUUGCCACCGUCCUGCGGAUAGGUUUCAGAGCACCGCUGCCUCUCGACUUAAUUCUGAUCUAUCUUCUUGAUGAUUUGGCUUGCCUUUGGAAUGAGUGCUCUCUGUUUUGUAGUUUCUACUAGAGGACAGCUUUUAGUUUAUGUAUGAGUGUGACCAUGUUUGAAGCGUCAAGUGUUUGGCAUCGUCUCGGUUCUUAGAUUGUGUCUUAGGUAGCUGCUGUGGUGUUGAUAUUGGUGAUGGUAUAGCUUCCGGUGGUGGCUAAAUUGCUAUCUCAUUUGUUGACAGUCACAAGUAUUUACUGGUUAGUUGUUUUGUAUCAAGGCCUGGUUUUGAAUGUGUCAAACUAGUGUGGUUGUUUGAGUUGUAGUUAGUUUUGUGAUGAGUUCUCGCCUCUAGUUGCUGCUGAUUUGUGCUCUAGAGGAGCUAGUAAGACCGAUGGUGUUCGAUGUGGAUUUGAAUAGCAUAUAUCAUGCUCUGCGCUAGCCGACUUCGGGGAAUGAACUUGGUAGAGGGAGCUCGCAUUGUUUGCAGGAUUUGGUUCGUGAGGUUCCAUUUUGGGCAAGCUCAUGGAUUUGAUUGACAAGACGCUCUCACGUGACGCGGGAGGAGUAUGUGAUCGACGACUUUGAGUUUCUGCCGUUGACAGUCCAACCUCAGACCUCCAGUGAAAGGCUUCUAGUGCUUAAAGUCUAACGCAAUUCAGCGUUUUCAAGUUGCAGUCAGCUUUCUCUUUCAACAACUUUUCUAAGAAGAACGUUCAAAAUCGCCAUCGCUUCGUCUAACACCUUUAGCUUAAUGCUUUGGUCGAGUGGAUGGACCGAAAUAUGUUUUCGUAAUAAUCUAUGCUUCCAUGUUUUUACUUUUUUUUUGCCAUGGGACCAUUUGUAUAGGUUUAAAAUCUUUGAUUGUAAACCUAAACAGUUUUCAUUUUUAAUGAAAUAUUUACAUUUUUAGCAAAAAAAUAAAAAUAAACAAACGCGCAAUCACCAGAUCAGUCAACAUCAAACACUCUCCGUCUUGACUGCAAUUAUGUGAUGUUUUAAACAUUGUGAUCUGCCAUAUAUUCUUUUUGGUGCUUAGUGAGCAAUAUAAUUUCCAAUUGCAACCAUCCAUAUAUACCACAUUUGUAUGCAAGCUUCAUCAGAUCCCACCUACAUUGUUUUAUAUUGUUGCAUGUUUUAAGAGCAUAGUCCAACACAGCUUCCUUAAGUAUCACCAUCAGUAUGUACCGUAUAAGUCUCUCAAAAAAUGGUAUUUAAUUAUUUUCGAAUUAAUAAAUUAUUGAUUUAAAUUUUAAAUUAAAAAAUGAGAAUUUGACCCAAGCAUAUGAAGACAAGUGGCAAGUAGGUUUUUGAGGAGUCUCUCAAAAGUUUUCAAACGAGAAACGUCUUUGACUCUCUCUCCUACUAUUGUAAUACGCUUUGACAAACUGCUGAUGGGCAUGCUCUUAAACAAAAGACCAAUAGAAAAAGUUUCCUCCACAUUACAUAAUUAAAUAUUGUUUUUAAGUUUGCAUUAUAUUCUACUAUAAUUUAGAUUUUUAUAUGUAUUUUGCUAUAUUAUGAAUUGGGUAAUAAACGUGAAUACCCAAAUGUUCAUUAUAGAUUUUUUUUCUCAUUUUCCUUAACUUUAUAUAAUAAGAUAUCUUUCUUUAUUUCAUUAAAAAUCCACUAUAAAUGUGAAAUUCUUUACUCUUACAUAUGUUUCAUUUUCAAUUAUCCUUACCUCUUAAGUAUUGCUCUCUCCCAUCAAUAUCUAACCAUGGCAGAUUGGUCGCUCCUUCCCACAGACUUACUAGAACAAAUUGUUGGUCGUUUUGCGACAUCUUUCGAGAUUGUCCUCUUCCGAUCUGUCUGCAGGUCAUGGCGAUCCAUUGUUCCUUCGCCGCGUGAUUCUCACUGCUUAGGCAUCAAAACUCAUAUCCCAAUGUUCGUCAAAAAGCGCUACUUCUGCAAUGAUGAGUAUUGUACACUUAAGAAAAUCCCAAUAUAUCUCGUGAGAUUCAACAGUCCCUUUGGUGAUGAUUAUUUAUUGGCAAAGAUACAUGAAAGAAAGAUCGGGAAACCGAUGUCCUUGUCGUCGCCAUUAGUAAGCUAUGGUGGUUUCACACCAAAAGAAACUCUAGUAUCGUUGUUUAACUCUCUUACCAGUCGAAUUGUCCCUUUGUGUUAUCACUACCAGGUUAGUUUUGGUCUCUAAUACUAUACCCAAUAGAUUUUAUAUCUUAUAGAAUGUUCUUUCCAUUUAACACAUUAAUGUGUUAAAUAUAUAGCAAAGGUCAAAUUUAAAGUUGGUGAGAUUUGAUUUCUCGAACGUCACAUGUCACUAUACUACUCUUUAAUUUAAUUCAGUAAUGCUUGAGUUUGAUUUUACGGUGUCAUUGUUUAACUUUUUUUUUUUUUGUGUGAUAAUUUUGGUAAAGUACGUCUUUGGAAUUCAAUGUUGUAUUGAUCACAAGUCAUACCAGAUAUCUCCUUGAUAUAUUAGCAUCAGUAAAUGCACAGGACUGGUUUUUAAUAUUGCCUUUGAUUAAGUGUAUGUAACCUUCGAUGCAGAUAAACUUAAGGUUGGGGUACUGGCAAGGUGUGCGUUACGGAUUUGAAUGGAAAAGUUGUUCCGAAAAAGUCGAAUAUCUUGAACUGAAUACUGAUGAUUGCAGAAAUUUCACAUUGCUAGCUGAUAUAGAAGGCGAUAUGAUGAUAUUUAGCAGCCUCAAGAUGAGAUGGACGAAAAUUUUGGUCUCUCCUGAGAAAUGUCGAGAUAUGGUUUCAUUCAAAGGAAAGUUUUACGUGGUUGAUACAAGUGGGUGGGGACAUGUCUUUGUAAUCGAACCCUCUUUGGAAGUUUCUGAGAUCCCAUCGGUCACACGGUCGACUCACAAGUCUACGAAAGAGGCUCUAGUGAAGUCGGGAGAAGAGUUGUUGCUAGUGCAACGGUUCACACCAGGUCAGUCUCAUGAAGAAGAUAUGUAUGCAUAUUUCCCCAAAAGAGAGUCUCAUCCUGAACAUAUGUAUACAUGGUUUAGAGUCUUUAGGCUGGAUGAAGAAGGUGGGAGUAGGAAGUGGGUUCAAGUCAUCGACUUGAAGGACCGAGUGAUAUUUCUUGGAGCUCGGACGAAUCUCUGCUGCUUGGCACGAAACCUGCCGGGUGCAAAGGAGAACUGCAUAGUGUUCAUUGAUUUGAGAAAUGGUAGCAUCCGUUAUAAUGAAUCAAUCCUUGUGUUUGACUUAAAAACCAAAAGGACUAGUAUUGCCUUUAGUGAAUGCAGAGGCUACAUGGGUGCAUUCGGAGCAAACCUUGAAUCUCUGGUAUCUUGUGGAG